rnacentral:rRNA from 1 species
UACAGAGGGUGCAAGCGUUGUUCGGAAUUAUUGGGCGUAAAGGGUGCGUAGGCGGGUCUUUAAGUCGGGGGUGAAAUCCUGGAGCUCAACUCCAGAACUGCCUUUGAUACUGAAGAUCUUGAGUCCGGGAGAGGUGAGUGGAACUGCGAGUGUAGAGGUGAAAUUCGUAGAUAUUCGCAAGAACACCAGUGGCGAAGGCGGCUCACUGGCCCGGUACUGACGCUGAGGCACGAAAGCGUGGGGAGCAAACAGG